GACGAACCGUCCAAACGUUAUUCGGAAUCACUGGGCUUAAAGGGUGCGUAGGCGGCUCUGAAAGUUGGGUGUGAAAGCCCUCGGCUCAACCGAGGAAUUGCGCCCAAAACUACAGAGCUAGAGGAAGACAGAGGUGAGCGGAACUUAGGGUGGAGCGGUGAUAUGCGUUGAGAUCCUAAGGAACACCAGUAGCGAAAGCGGCUCACUGGGUCUUUCUGACGCUGAGUGCACGAAAGCUAGGGGAGCGAAGAGGAUUAGAUACCCGGGUAGUCCCU
rnacentral:rRNA from 1 species